CUUAGCAUUUUUCUUUCCAAAAACUAAAUAUCAAUAUUUCAAUAUUUUCAACCACACCACCAAAAGCCAUAACUGAAACUGAACAUGGCUUCAUUAAUGGCUUCCGGUGGCUCUGACAGUGACUCCACAAUACAAAGACAUAGACACAGCCUUGGCCGUUGGUUGAGCGGGCGCACUCCUCACUGCUCCUCUCUCUCAUUAAAUGUUCUACCUCCUCCUCCUUCGAAGUUUCAAACCCACUCUCUUUUCGCAGAGUACUCUUAAUUUUCAGUUUUGUUUGUUGGGUCUUUGAAGUUCGCAAUUUUGGUUGGUGGGUUUUCUUGAGUUGCUGAAAUUUUUAAUCUUGGUAGAGAAAAGAAGAAUUAUCAGAGAAAUGGUGGAGACCAAGACGGAGAAGAAUUUCCAUUGACGACCAUGAAGUUGUUAUCUGUAACUAAAACGGCAAUGGGGGCGAGAGCCCAAGUCGGCGCCUUUGCCGUAGCGUUAAUCUUGUUCGUGAUUCAGAGUGGUUUUGCGCAGCAGGGUUCUUUGAGCUCCGACAUGGAGCGGUCGGCGUUACUGGAGCUCCGGUCUUCGUUGGGUCUCAGAAGCAAAAACUGGCCCAGAAAGGCCGACCCAUGUUCAUCCUGGACCGGAGUCACAUGCAGCAAGAACGGCCGUGUCACUGGAAUUACCGUGUCCGGUUUGAGGCGAACCCGAGUGGGCCAGCAAAACCCCCGGUUCUCCGUCGAUUCACUGGCUAAUAUCACCCUCUUGGCUUCUUUCAACGCCUCCGGGUUCGCGCUUCCUGGGUCCAUACCCGACUGGUUUGGCCAAAGACUUGGUGCACUCCAGGUGCUCGACCUUAGGUCUGCGUCAGUCAUUGGUUCUAUUCCCCAGUCGCUUGGUAAUUUGAAAAAUCUUACUUCUUUGUAUUUAUCUGGCAAUGAUAUUACUGGGAUUUUACCUUCUGCGUUGAUAAACAUAACAGAGUUGGAAAUUCUUGAUCUUUCGAGGAAUGCGAUUACUGGGUCCAUACCUUCUGGCUUUGCCAAUCUUGGAAAGCUUGAAAGUCUUGACCUUUCUUCAAAUUUCUUAUCUGGGUCGGUUUCACCAGGUUUGGGAACCCUUUCAAGGCUUAAGUUCUUGGACUUGUCUGAUAAUAGUCUCACCGAUUCGAUUCCGGUUCAGUUUAGUAACCUUUCCCGGUUGGUUGAGCUUGAUCUUAGCAAGAACACUUUGUCUGGGUCAUUGCCUGUGGAACUGAGAGGGUUGAGGAGUUUGAGGAGGAUGGGUAUUGGAGAUAAUGCUCUGGAAGGUCCAUUGCCGGAGGGUUUGUUUUCGAGUCUUGUUCAGCUGGAAGUUCUGGUUCUGAGUCGGAAUAAAUUUGAUGGUGCUCUUCCUGGUGCCUUGUGGUCACUUCCCAGUUUGCGAUUUCUCGAUGUAUCCCGCAACAAUUUUACAGGAACUCUACCGAGCCUGGGUUCAAAUGCUAGUGUUAGUGGCGCUGUGUUCAACCUUUCUCAUAAUCUGUUAUAUGGAAAUCUUACAUUUCCUGUUGGGAAAUUUGUCUCAAUCGAUUUGUCUGAUAAUUUUUUCCAAGGCAAGGUAUUAGAAGAUAGUCAAAGCAAUGAUACUCUUACUGGAAAUUGCCUACAGAUUGUACCAAAUCAAAGGAGUUUGCAGGAUUGUAGGCAGUUUUAUGAAGAGAGGGGUUUAAGUUUCGAUGAUUUUGGGGCCCUAGAACCAGCUCAGCCACCUUUCCUAGAACCUGAAUCAAAGAGCAAGAACCGAUUAACAUUUAUAUUGGUUGGGAUAUUUGGUGGACUCGGCUUCAUUGUGAUUUUGGUACUGGUUCUGGUAGUGCUCCUGAAAAUGUGCAAUAAAGGCACAAAUCAACGUGGAAGUGCAAAUGUUGGGCCUGUUCCAGAAGGAGAUGACCCUUCACUCCCCAAAGAUCUCAUCGAUGCAUCAGGUCGAGGAGAUUCAUUUACGUAUGAGCAGAUUCUCCAUUCCACUUCUGCUUUCAGUGAAGCAAAUCUUAUAAAACAUGGACACUCUGGAGACAUAUACCGAGGAUCCUUGGCAAGUGAAACCCCUGUAGUUAUCAAAAGGGUAAAUUUGCAUUCCGUAAAGAAAGAAUCAUACACGAUAGAAAUGGAUUUAUUCAGCAAGGUUUCACAUACGAGAUUGGUGCCACUUUUGGGUCACUGCUUGGAGCAUGAGAGCGAGAAGCUUCUGGUUUACAAAUACAUGCCAAAUGGAGACUUGGCUAGUUCCUUGCACAGGGUUACCAACUUAGGAGAUGGCAAUUUACAGUCCCUGGAUUGGAUUACAAGAUUAAAAAUUGCAAUUGGAGCUGCUGAAAUCCUAGCUUACAUCAUGAAUGCAGCCCGCCACUCGUUCACAGAGAUGUUCAAGCUAGCAGUAUACUUCUCGAUGAUAAAUUUGAGGUCCGGCUUGGAAGCUGGAGUGAGGUCCGUGUGCAAGAAGGGGAUGGUAACCCAAAUGUGAUCACGAGAUUGUUGCGGAAACAACAAACCUUGGAACAAAGCCCUUAUGCCUCGGCAUCAGCUGCUUGCUCAUAUGAUGUAUACUGUUUUGGGAAGGUUUUGCUUGAGCUUGUAACGGGUAAGCUUGGCAUCAGCAAAUCUGAUGAUUCGUCUACAAGGGAGUUGUUGGAUCACACGGUGCGCUACAUCAGCAUAUAUGACAAGGAACUGUUGAAUAAGAUUGUUGACCCAUCUCUGAUAGUAGAUGAAGAUCUAUUGGAAGAAGUUUGGGCCAUGGCAAUCGUGGCCAGGUCCUGCCUCAACCCCAAGCCGUCUAAGCGUCCCCCGAUGAAAUACAUCCUUAAGGCAUUGGAAAACCCUCUAAAGGUGGUGAGGGAAGAGAGUUCCAGCUCUGCAAGGCUGCGAACAGCUUCAUCGAGAAGAUCCUGGAGCACUGCUUUCUUUGGUAGCUGGCAGCAGAGCUCAUCAGAGAGCGCCACCGCUCCUGGCCACACAAGCAGAGAGAGUAUCAGUGGCUUAAAACGGGAAUCCUCUGCAUCACACAAAAGGUUAUCAAGUGAAAUAUUCCCUGAGCCAAUUGAAAUACAAGAUCUCGAGCGACAAGAUGAACAUUAGAUAUGAAGAACAACGACAUAGUCUUCACACAGGCCACCAGUAUCUGCGUUAAGCUCUGCAUCUGCGAUUCUGCGUUAAGCUCGAUGACGAUGCCGGAUAAAGAUUACGAGCUGUCUGGCGGAUUGGAAAUGCCUAGUGAAGUUGGUCUAAAAGUUGGGCCAGAUUGUUAUUGGUAUGAUAAGCUUGUUAAAUUGAAGAAAACAAGCUGCAAAGCUCAGUGACAGAUGCUUUAUAAAAGAUCCCACGAGUGGAGUAUGAAUUUGUUACAGAUUGGAAAUUGGUAAUAAAUCUUACACAAGAAUUUUCGUGGUUGGCAAAAUUCAAACUUCAUCAUAUACAAAAGCAUUUGCACUGUUUCUGGAA